ACACCUCAACUCCCAUGGUUCGCCAUGGUGAGCUUGGAUUUUGGGGGUUUUGCUGGCCUAUGGUCAGCUCCUCUCAAAUGAAUUAGCCUGCCAGUGUUUGGUGGCAUCACAGGUGUGAUAAAUAUCUACGCUUGUGAUUGCCUGCCAGGUAACCUUCAGCAGUGGAGGUUCACUGGAGCUCACAGAUGGUCUCUCCUCGGCGAGGACGACUCUUUGAAU
rnacentral:misc_RNA from 1 species